UACGGGGGGGGCAAGCGUUGUUCGGAAUUAUUGGGCGUAAAGAGCUCGUAGGCGGUCUGUCGCGUCGGAUGUGAAAAUCCAGGGCUCAACCCUGGACCUGCAUUCGAUACGGGCAGACUAGAGUUCGGCAGGGGAGACUGGAAUUCCUGGUGUAGCGGUGAAAUGCGCAGAUAUCAGGAGGAACACCGGUGGCGAAGGCGGGUCUCUGGGCCGAUACUGACGCUGAGGAGCGAAAGCGUGGGGAGCGAACAGG
rnacentral:rRNA from 1 species